rnacentral:misc_RNA from 1 species
ACGUAGCUCAUAAUCAUGAUAUUUAGCAAUUUUCAAAUCGAGAAAUCAAAGUUUACAAAAAGAAAAAACCCAUUGGCUACAUCAACAUGAAAAGAAAAAAAAUAACAAAAUGAACAGUUAUAUAAUGGUCUAAACAAACACAUUUUGUCCUAUAAAUUGCAAAACGUAAUAUCUUGUAAAACCAAUAGUGAUUUGAAUAACAAAAAACAGCGAUUCAAAAAGUCAUUUGUCUCUAACCACAGAAACAGUUUCCAAUGGUUAUGGAACUAAGAACUGACAGCCGCCUUUUACUUGAUUAUCAUGAUGUAACAUUUUUGGUGAUAUAUACUUAGUAGUAUCGCAACCAUAUUUCCGUUAAUGUUAUUUUCAAAUCAUCUUGAAAUAAAGAACUUCGAAAAAUAAAUGAGCAAAGAAAAAUCGUAAGCAUGCCACUGUUCUGUAUUUAAAUAUCACAUUACGAUGAAUUAUUCGAAACUAUUUUGUUUAGAGAAACACGUUUUUGAUUAAGGAUGAACAAUAUUCAGUAAAUGAAACUGUUCUGGCUUUUAACAGCAAAAUACCCAACCGAUGGAAUUAAGACCAUAAUUCUGGAUAAAAUAUGUAUUUUAGACUGUAAUUUAUCACUUUCGAUCAUGUAUUGUUUGCACUGUAUACAUAUAUAUACUAUAUAAAUACUUGCUAUAUAAUUUAACACCUAUAUGCAGUAAAAAAAAAUCUCCGAUUUUUAACGAUAAUGGUUUUAUAGAAGCAUUACUAAAAACGUAUUGCCUAUGUUACCUUAAUUUCAAUAUGAGUUAUAAUUGAUUACAUGUAUGUUAUUAAAGAAAACAGUGUGUAUACUUUUCCAAAAAUGAACUACAUUUUUGAGACUAAAGUUCAUACUCAUUCCAUCAAUGAAGAAAUGAAGAAAUGCCAACUGG